CGGCCAGUGCCCCGGCUCCCUCCCCUCCGGUUCUCACCCCUCUUCCUCCUCGCCUCUGGGUCCCGACGCCUUCCGCCGUCGGUCGGAGCAGCACCUCCGCCACGCCACCGCUGGGUCCCGCUGUCUCCAGCCAUCGCCGCUUCACCUCCGCCACCUCACCACCGGGUCCCGUCGCCAUCUGGCUGCUGCUACCGGUGCAAUGGCGUGGCGAGGAAGCGCGGGAGGAGCCGGUACGGCUGGGCGCGGUCGCCUGGUCUGCAACAAUCUGCAUCCUGGGAGGCCAUGAGAGAAAAUAAGGUGAGGGAGAGUUGAUGAUUCGUGUAGAUUCGAGACAACCAUCAGUCGACCCUACAAGAUUGCUGCCAUGAAGAGGAAGAUAGAAAACAGCUCGAACAUGACAUCCAUAGGGAAUGCAGUCACGUUGCAAAGCACCACACCAACAAUUACGUUGAGCAAUAUAUGGAAUAAAUUCAUGAUUGUUCUUCGUGCUUCCUCUGGAAUGUACUACUGGAACCUCUUCUUCACGAUUGAUGGCCCGAAUAUGCCAACGCAAGCCUCAAAGGUUCAAAAACCAAGAAGCUGAAGACAACCUCCAAUUAAUAUGUGCUUCCUUUCACCAAAGACGUCCAUACUAGGAUGUUGGAGACACCACGGAGGAUAAUGGUGACAAUCGAUAUUGAGAACACAAUCUGCAUGUAACCUUGAACCUUGAGCUUGCGGGCUAAUAGACGAGAUGUAAUGGAGCUAGCCAACAUGGAUGACAACAUGAGUGUUGCAAAAAUAAAACCAUGAGGAAUGUUUUCUUCAUUUAAACUCAAUGCAGGAGUCCCCAGGACGACAAUUGUGUACAUCAAGCCCUCAAACAACGACUGUAUGGCUCCCCAUAAUGAAUCUUUUGAUCCUAA